GACGAACGCUGGCGGCGUGCUUAACACAUGCCAGUCGAACGGAAAGGCCCUGCUUUUGUGGGGUGCUCGAGUGGCGAACGGGUGGGUAACACGUGAGUAGCCUGCCCUUGACUUUGGGAUAACUUCAGGAAACUGGGGCUAAUACCGGAUAGGAGCUCCUGCUGCAUGGUGGGGGUUGGAAAGUUUCGGCGGUUGGGGAUGGACUCGCGGCUUAUCAGCUUGUUGGUGGGGUAGUGGCUUACCAAGGCUUUGACGGGUAGCCGGCCUGAGAGGGUGACAGGCCACAUUGGGACUGAGAUGCGGCCCAGACUCCUACGGGAGGCAGCAGUGGGGAAUAUUGCACAAUGGGCGGAAGCCUGAUGCAGCAACGCCGCGUGCGGGAUGACGGCCUUCGGGUUGUAAACCGCUUUCGCCUGUGACGAAGCGUGAGUGACGGUAAUGGGUAAAGAAGCACCGGCUAACUACGUG
rnacentral:rRNA from 1 species